AAUGUGCUGGGAAACAAAAUAAGUGAAGAUGUUUUCACCCUCAGAAAAAGAUCCCCAAACCCCAACAUUCUCUUGAUAAUCUGGUGUUAUCCCUAUUUGGCAGAAAAGAAGCUGAGGAUGAAAAGAGAACUGACUACCUGGCAUACUGCUGCGAUGGGAGGCUGUUCUAGUGCUGUUCAGAAGCUCUCACUCUGGCUGUCUUGAGGCUUGGCUUCAUCUGCUGCCUGCCAUCCGUUUGGUGUGUGUACUUCUCUUGAACCCGUUUGGAGACCAAGAUGUGUAUUGAAGGCUCUUUGCACAGCCUCUGCAGUUUCAGACAGCUCGUAUGGAGAGUUACAAGGAUUCAACUGGGUGCCUAAACCAUGGUUUUGUUCCUGCCUGGCUCAUGGGAGAUGCUGUGGGUUGGACUGGCUUGCACAGUCUAGCCUUGGUGCAUGUGA